rnacentral:rRNA from 1 species
AGACCACCAGCUAAGGUCCCAAAAUAUAUGUUAAGUGGAAAAGGAUGUGGCGUUGCCCAGACAACUAGGAUGUUGGCUUAGAAGCAGCCAUCAUUUAAAGAGUGCGUAAUAGCUCACUAGUCGAGUGACACUGCGCCGAAAAUGUACCGGGGCUAAACAUAUUACCGAAGCUGUGGAUUGUCCUUUGGACAAUGGUAGGAGAGCGUUCUAAGGGCGUUGAAGCAUGAUCGUAAGGACAUGUGGAGCGCUUAGAAGUGAGAAUGCCGGUGUGAGUAGCGAAAGACGGGUGAGAAUCCCGUCCACCGAUUGACUAAGGUUUCCAGAGGAAGGCUCGUCCGCUCUGGGUUAGUCGGGUCCUAAGCUGAGGCCGACAGGCGUAGGCGAUGGAUAACAGGUUGAUAUUCCUGUACCACCUAUAAUCGUUUUAAUCGAUGGGGGGACGCAGUAGGAUAGGCGAAGCGUGCGAUUGGAUUGCACGUCUAAGCAGUAAGGCUGAGUAUUAGGCAAAUCCGGUACUCGUUAAGGCUGAGCUGUGAUGGGGAGAAGACAUUGUGUCUUCGAGUCGUUGAUUUCACACUGCCGAGAAAAGCCUCUAGAUAGAAAAUAGGUGCCCGUACCGCAAACCGACACAGGUAGUCAAGAUGAGAAUUCUAAGGUGAGCGAGCGAACUCUCGUUAAGGAACUCGGCAAAAUGACCCCGUAACUUCGGGAGAAGGGGUGCUCUUUAGGGUUAACGCCCAGAAGAGCCGCAGUGAAUAGGCCCAAGCGACUGUUUAUCAAAAACACAGGUCUCUGCUAAACCGUAAGGUGAUGUAUAGGGGCUGACGCCUGCCCGGUGCUGGAAGGUUAAGAGGAGUGGUUAGCUUCUGCGAAGCUACGAAUCGAAGCCCCAGUAAACGGCGGCCGUAACUAUAACGGUCCUAAGGUAGCGAAAU